GCUGAUAUGGCUCAGUUGGUAGAGCGCACCCUUGGUAAGGGUGAGGUCCCUAGUUCGACUCUGGGUAUCAGCACCA
rnacentral:tRNA from 1 species